rnacentral:rRNA from 1 species
AAUCAGCACCUCAAGUGGUCAGGAUGAUUAUUGGGCCUAAAGCAUCCGUAGCCGGCUCUGUAAGUUUUCGGUUAAAUCUGUACGCUCAACGUACAGGCUGCCGGGAAUACUGCAGAGCUAGGGAGUGGGAGAGGUAGACGGUACUCGGUAGGAAGGGGUAAAAUCCUUUGAUCUAUUGAUGACCACCUGUGGCGAAGGCGGUCUACCAGAACACGUCCGACGGUGAGGGAUGAAAGCUGGGGGAGCAAACCGG